rnacentral:rRNA from 1 species
CCAUUCCGAACACAGAAGUUAAGCUCUUUAGCGCCGAUGGUACUUGGUGGGAAGCUGCCUGGGAGAGUAGGACGUAGCCACGU